AAAGGGCGGUGAAACCGCUUAGAAUAAACGGACGGAGCCGUCUGUGUCCUUUGGGACUCAGUCGUACGAUUUCGCGAGAGUGCCUGCGAUCGGAAUGAAGAGUNGUUCUGGCGUUCGUGUCGUCGCUAUCAUGCGGCGCUUUUCAUUGAGAUGCGCUCUGACCGAUACUCAUUGCCAGUGGAACCAAUUCGAUGAAGGCGAAUCCCGGAAAGGAUUCUCUUCACGACUUUUUUCGCUCGACUCUGUACAGAACUACAUCUCGUGUGUUAUAUGAUCUGUCUAAAACACUCCUCGAGUAGAGCAUCGUUCAGACAUCGAAUGUGCCGUGCCCUGAUUACCUAGAUUGUUUGAUGCAUGCGUGUUAGUAGCCGCGACUGUCAUCACUUUGCUGUCGACAGCAUCGUCGUCGUCGACCAAUCCUACGAGCCUUGUAGCACCAACCACGAAGUCGAAUAACUGAUCCACCAGCUGAUGGGAAAACCAAUAACCGCAGUAAUCGAAGAGACUGCUUCAUACAACUGCUAUACUAUCAUCGAGUCGUCACAUGACUUUAAGNGGCAUAACCNCCCCUCCUAUCCGGCUAAUCGUAGGGCGGAAAAANGAAAGUGCUUCNUUGGGACCCCAAAGANGGUUGACUNAUGCUGNGACCAAACGAAACCCGAAAGAAAAUCUUGGNGGAAGUUCCUAGCCGUUCCUACNCGGAAAAUUNAUCGGCCANAUUGGGUAUAUGGGGCCAAAAAAUUAAUCNAACCCUCCAGGAACUGGGUUCCUUCCCAAAA
rnacentral:rRNA from 1 species